AUAACAUUAUUUAUUUAAGUGCUC
rnacentral:siRNA from 1 species